CUGGAUGUGCACAUAGGCCAGAUUUAUGUUUGACUUUACACAGACAUCUCAGUGCAGUAAAGAGCAGUAUUGCCGCCAGCAGGUCUCACUUCCAGCCAUAAGGCAGUUUUCUCCUAUCUCAGUAAAUAGAAUAUAUGAUCAGGUUUUACACUGAGACAUUCCAUUCCCAGGGACAAGCAGGAGACAGAUGCCUUCCUCUUGUCUCAGCUGCAAAGAGGCCUUCCUCUUUCACUAAUCCUCCUCAGCACGGACCCUUUAUGGGUGUCGGGCUGGGGGAUGGAGGUCUUUCCUUUCCUACAAUCCCAGCUACUCAGCAGGCUGAGAUGGGAGGAUCACAUAAGCCCAGGAGUUUGAGACUGCAGCAGGCUAUAAUCAGGCUACUGCAUUUCACCCUGGUGACAGAGUGAGACUCCGUCUCAAAAAAAAACAAUAUAAGGUGAAGGCCAAGCAGGGUGGCACAUACCUGUUGUCUCACCUACUCAAAAGGCUGAGGCCAGAGGAGGAUUGCUGGAAGUGAGUUCAAAGCCAGCCUAGAGAAUAUAUUGAGACUCUGUCUCUAAAUUUUAUAUAUAUAUGGUGAAUUCACCUUUACCAUAUCUUUUAUGUAUAAGCAAUGGGAUUGAUUAGCAAGUAAUGGGACUCUGAAAUCAAAGGGGUAAAUUUGGGUAGAUCUUUAUAAAUAUAAUAACCUUGAACCCCACAAAUCUCUCUAAGCGUCCUUUAAAAAAUAGACUUUCUGUCUGAGUAGGUGAGUCCUUUUUUUUGUUUGAAGAUACUAGAAAGCUCUUACUUGAGACAGCUCCUAAAAGAAUGUCAAUUCAACAGAAGUCUCAUAGCCAGUAUAACUAAUUCUAACCCCCUAACUAGAGUCAGAUACUAGGAUACCCCUAAGGGACAACAAUGAAAUCUGAAUUUGGGUGUCAUUGCUUACAUAUCAAAACAGUUGCAAGAGACAGUUAAUUUAUAUUUGCAGAAACCAUAUGAAUUUGUAUGAAAAUGAUUUUUUAAAGUGCUAUAUCAAGAAAACUAGAACAUAAUGCAGAACAAAUAAAAUUUACUUAUAUGGGUGCCAAGAAUAGAAAUUCUGGGUUCCGCAUACAUCAGCAUCUAGAAGAAUCUGCAGUAGGUAUGGAUGGUUGAUUGAGGCCUUUAUUCAAUGGUAGUCUACAAAGAAUAAGACAGAAGUAAGAACUUUCCUGUUAAAAUGGAAAGAUAGAGUAAACAAGUUUAGGAAUAUCUCAUAAGCCACUGAUUCCAUUCUUAGGUCUAUAUCCAAGGGAAAUUCUUGCACAUGCACACAAGGAAACAUGGAAGAGAAUGUCCAUAUAUGUACUGUUCACAGUA
rnacentral:lncRNA from 10 species